rnacentral:misc_RNA from 1 species
AACGCACAUUGCGCCCAUUGGUAUUCCGAUGGGCAUGCCUGUUCGAGCGUCAUUAUCCUCCCUCAAACCCUGGGUUUGGUGUUGGACCGCGGGGCGGCGUGAGCCCUCCCUGGUCCCAAAGACAAUGACGGCGUCCGUGGGACCCUCGGUGCAACGAGCUUUUCGGAGCACGCGUCGAGUCCCGUCCCGGCGGGCCGGUCGAGCCUAUUUUACUUCUAGGUUGACCUCGGAUCAGGUAGGAAUACCCGCUGAACUUAA